rnacentral:rRNA from 1 species
UUGAUCCUGGCUCGAAUGAACGCUGGCGGCAGGCCUAACACAUGCAAGUCGAACGGAGUUAUAUUGUAGCUUGCUAUGGUAUAACUUAGUGGCAGACGGGUGAGUAAUGUAUAGGAAUCNACCNAGUAGUACGGAAUAAUUGUUGGAAACGGCAACUAAUACCGUAUACGCCCUACGGGGGAAAAAUUUAUUGCUAUUAGAUGAGCCUAUAUUAGAUUGGCUAGUUGGUGGAGUAAUAGCCUACCAAGGCAAUGAUCUAUAGCUGAUCUGAGAGGAUGAUCAGCCACACUGGAACUGAGAUACGGUCCAGACUCCUACGGGAGGCAGCAGUGGGGAAUAUUGGACAAUGGGCGAAAGCCUGAUCCAGCCAUGCCGCAUGAGUGAAGAAGGCCUUUGGGUUGUAAAGCUCUUUUAGUGAGGAAGAUAAUGACGGUACUCACAGAAGAAGUCCUGGCUAACUCCGUGCCAGCAGCCGCGGUAAUACGGAGAGGGCUAGCGUUAUUCGGAAUUAUUGGGCGUAAAGGGCGCGUAGGCGGAUUAGUAAGUUAAAAGUGAAAUCCCAAGGCUCAACCUUGGAAUUGCUUUUAAAACUGCUAAUCUAGAGAUUGAAAGAGGAUAGAGGAAUUCCUAGUGUAGAGGUGAAAUUCGUAAAUAUUAAGAGGAACACCAGUGGCGAAAGCGUCUAUCUGGUUCAAAUCUGACCCUGAGGCGCGAAGGCGUGGGGAGCAAACAGGAUUAGAUUCCCUGGUAGUCCACGCUGUAAACGAUGA